CCUGGUUGAUCCUACCAGUAGUCAUAUGCUUGUCUCAAAGAUUAAGCCAUGCUUGUGUAAGUAUGAACUAAUUUGGACUACAAAACUACAAAUGGCUCAUUAAAUCAGUUAUAAAUUGUUUGAUGGUAUCUGCUACUUGGAUAACCAUAAUAAUUUUAGAGCUAAUACAUCAACAAUCCUUGACUUCUAGAAGGGAUGCAUUUAUUAAACAAAAGGUUAAUGCAGGCUUUGCUCUAAUGACUCAUGAUAACUUGUGGAUUGCACAGCUUUUGUGCCAGUGACACAUCAUUCAAAUUUUUGCCCUAUCAACUUUCAAUGGUAGGAUAGUGGCCUACUACAGUGGUCGCCUACUAUGGUGGUGAUGGGUGAUGAAGAAUUACGAUUUAAUUCCAAUGAAAGAGCCUAAGAAAUGGCUACAACAUCUAAGGAAAGUAGUAGGCAUGCAAAUUACCCAAUCUUGACAUAGGGAGGUAGUGACAAUAAAUAACAAUACUAAGCUUUAUGAGUCUAGUAAUUGGAAUGAGUAUAAUCUAAAUCCCUUAAUAAAGAUCCAUUAUAGGGCAAGUCUAGCACCAGUAGUCAUAGCAAUUCCAACUUCAUUUGUGUACAUGUAAGUUGUUGUAGUUAAAAGCUCAUAAUUGAAACUAGGGUUGGGUCAUUUGGUUUGCCUCAUGGUACCAUAGGUCUACUAAUCCCUAUUACCACCAAUGCACUUUUGGCCUUAACUGGCUGAAUCAUUCUUGUGGUGCUAUUACUUUAAAGAAAUUAGAGUGCUCAAAGCAGGCUUAGCUUGUAUACAUUAGCAUGGGAUAACAUCAUAAGAUUUUGAUCCUAUUGUGUUGGCCUUCAGGAUCAGAGUAAUGAUUAACAAAGACUAUAGGGGGCAUUUGUAUUUCAUAGUCAAAGGUGAAAUUCUUGGAUUUAUGAAAGAGAAACAACUACAAAAGCAUUUGCCAAGGAUAUUUUCAUUAAUCAAGAAUGAAAGUUGAGGGCUCAAAGAUGAUUAGUUACCAUCCUAGCUUCAAACAUAAAUGUGCCAACUAGGGAUCAGCAAAUGUUACUUUUAAGACUCCGUUGGCACUUUAUGAGAUAUCAAAGUCCUUGGGUUCCAAAGGGAGUAUAGCCAUAAGGCUGAAACUUAAAGAAAUUGAUUAAAGGCCACCACCAAGAGUGGAGCCUACGACUUAAUUUGAUUCAACAUAGGGAAACUUACCACAUCCAGACAUAGUCAGGAUUGAAAAAAUGAGAGCUCUUUCUUAGUUCUAUAGGUGGUGGUACAUGGCCAUUCUUAGUUGGUACAGUGAUUUGCUUGGUUAAUUUCGUUAACGAGUGAGACCUCAGCCUGCUAACUAGCUAUGCAGAGGUGAUCCUUUGUGGCUAGCUUCUUAGAAGGACUGUAGCCACUCAAAACAAGGAAGUUUGAGGCAAUAAUAGGUCUAUGAUUCCUUUGCAUGUUUUAGGCUACACGUGUGCUACACCAAUGUAUUCAAUGAGUCUAUAGCCUUAGCCAACAAGCCUAGGUAAUAUUUGAAAUUUCAUUGUGAUAGGGAUAGAUCAUUGCUAUUAUUGGUCUUAAACGAGGAAUUUCUAGUAAGCAUGACUCAUCAGUUCAUGUUGACUACAUCCAUGUCCUUUGUAUGCAUUGCCUGUCACUCAUACUAAUUGGAUGGUCUAGUGAAGUGUUUGGAUCAUGAUGACAUGGAUGAUUUGCUGCCUAUGAUAUCACGAGAAAUCCAUUGAACCUUAUCAUUUAGAGGAAGGAGAAGUAGUAAUAAGGUUUUCAUAGGUGAACUUGCAAAGA
rnacentral:rRNA from 1 species